rnacentral:rRNA from 1 species
UGGGGAAUUUUGGACAAUGGGCGAAAGCCUGAUCCAGCAAUGCCGCGUGUGUGAAGAAGGCCUUCGGGUUGUAAAGCACUUUUGUCCGGAAAGAAAUGGCUCUGGUUAAUACCUGGGGUCGAUGGCGGUACCGGAAGAAUAAGGACCGGCUAACUACGUGCCAGCAGCCGCGGUAAUACGUAGGGUCCAAGCGUUAAUCGGAAUUACUGGGCGUAAAGCGUGCGCAGGCGGUUGUGCAAGACCGAUGUGAAAUCCCCGAGCUUAACUUGGGAAUUGCAUUGGUGACUGCACGGCUAGAGUGUGUCAGAGGGGGGUAGAAUUCCACGUGUAGCAGUGAAAUGCGUAGAGAUGUGGAGGAAUACCGAUGGCGAAGGCAGCCCCCUGGGAUAACACUGACGCUCAUGCACGAAAGCGUGGGGAACAAACAGG